GUUCAGAGCGAGCAAUUCAAGCUCUUCAACUCUAAAGUCACUGUUUAAAGUCACUCUUUGGUGACUUCUUUUUUGGCAAGAUAAAUAUUUUAAAGCAUAAGAAAUGGGCGUUCCCUUGCAACUUCAUGCUGGAGACAGUCAGGGGUCCACCCUUCGGCAUUAGUGAGGGUCGCUGUGCCCAGCUGUCGUGACACCGAGCCUUCAGGACCCGCGCUGUGAGGACCAAAGAGCCAGCACCCGCGCUCCCCGGCUUUGUACUCGCCUCCGUUCUCUGAGCCCGGGUUCAAUGGGAAUAAACAGAGGCGCCUUCAAAACAGAAAGGGAAAUCAGCCACUGCAAAGAAUAACUGCGUUCCACGAGGCCUCUCAACAAGGCCACCGCCGGGAGCCGCGGUGUCCCCCGGCGCAGGGGCGGAGGGGCGCACCUGGCGGCGAGGGCGGGGCGGGACGCGGGCUUCGUUUUCUUUUCCUUGUCAAGUGAAUUCCCCGAAGGGCUCCGAAGCUUCUGCUUGGCAGAACAAGGGAAAAUAAGACAUUUUUAAUGUAUUCCAUUGUCUUUCCCGGUGACAGAGCGCCGUCCCCCAGCAGGUUUCCAAGUGUCUCUGUCACUGCGCGCCCGGGCUCUCCUCUCCGCGCUGCCGCCCGUAAUGAGCGGGAAGAAGGAGUGCUCGUCGCAGAGGGCGAUUAUCACAGGUCUCCGAGCUCCUGCUUCCACCUGCCGAGGAAAUCACGGCUCCGCGGCGCGGGCAUUUAUCCUUGUGCAAGUUCAUUUGCAAGUUGAGCAGAACUCAAAGGCAGGAACCCACCAAGACAGUCAGUCCGGAAGGAACGCCGUCCGUUUAAACAUCUGGUGAAUUCUUUCCCUCGCCCCCCUACCCACACCUCGCAUCCCGGGGGCAGUCACGUCCCGCAUCCCCUUGGCACGGUCCUGCGGGCACUGGUUGCUGACGCCGUUUUCUAGGCUUGAGCUAACUGGAGCCGGGGAUCCCUGGUUAUUGCAGUCUGCGCUCGCCGCACAGUGCAGCAGCUCUUGACCUACAAGCCCUCCCAAGGCCUGGUGCCACCUGAGCUCAGCCAGGCUAGAUUGAAAGAGAAGUGUGAGAAGGAUCCCAGAAUUCUCCUUUAACCCCAUGCCUGCUGUGGCCUCGAGGAUGUCUUGCAAACUCCCAGGGAUCUCACUACUUGCUUUUUCAAAUGCAGGUUGGCCAGUGUCCUCCUGAGGGUUCUAAGGCCAUCUGAGUGACAGGAUGCAGCAGUGGUGGUUAUUGGGGGGGGGGGCGUCACAGACUUCCAGAGAAGAUAAGAAAAAGUGAUAGGCUGCAUACAAUGUUUCUUCUUCUUCCCAAGGUUCCUCUGUCCUGUGGCCUAAAGUCCUAGCAAAAUCGCCAUUUCAUAUUAUGUUUUUUAUUAUUUAUUUAUUUUGAGACAGGGUCUCACUAAGUUGCUGGCUUUGAAGAUGAAGAAUGCCACAAGCCAUGGGCUGUGGGUGACCUCUAGAAGCUAGAAGAACCAGCUACAAGAUUCUCCCGUGUAGCCUCCUUGGUGUUAGCUUAGUGAGUCCCUUUUUGGGUCUCCCUAAGGGACCCCUUCUGACUUCCAAAACAUGAGUUUGUGUUGGUUUGAUCCACUUAUAUUUGCAGUAAUUUGUUAGAAAUUGUGACCAGCCUCAGUUCAGUGCUGGCUGCUGGGAGAGCCUUCCCUGACCACCUGUCCAGAGCCAGGUGUGUGGCUGCUGUCCUGGUGUGCGGCUAUGGCAAAUACCUGAGCGAAGCCACUUAGGAGAGGAAAGGGUUAUCUUGGCUCACAGGGUUGGAGCUUUCAGUCCAUGAUCGACUGCCCUGUGCUGGCAUGUCAUGGCAGGGGACACAGCAGAGCCAAAUCCUUCACCUGUGGCUGGGAAGCAAAAGAGAUGGAGAGGAAGGUCCAGGGUCCCACAGUCCCUUCAAAGGCCAUCCCCCAGGGACCUGAAGACCUCCCAGGAGGCCCACCAGCUCCCCAAAACAUCACCCUGAGGAGCAAACCUUUGUCACCACAUGGGACUCUGGGGGACACACGGGAUCCAAACUCCAGCACUUGGGCAGGUGCUAAGCACUGCUUUAGGGACACAGCAGUGAACAAGAUGCUAAUAACGUGCCUGCAGGAGGACAA
rnacentral:lncRNA from 1 species